GUGCUCACUCUUCUGCACCACAUAUACUAAAAAUGGACUGAUACAGACAUUAGGUAGGCGCCUAUGAAAGGAUGAGAUGCAAAUUUAUGAAGUACUUCAUAUUUUU
ensembl:snRNA U6 U6 spliceosomal RNA